UUAUGAGUCAUCGGGAGAGCAGACACCGAGAAGUUUUUCCCCUGAUGAUGUUAGCUGAGGCAAGAAAUUUUGUUAAUUUUGUAUUCGCUAUCUGAAAAGCGCACCAUUCCGUUAGAAUACACUUCCAGUUCAGCAGGACACUGAAAAAAUAAACUAUGGCUGAAGGGGGUUCAGAUACUCCCUGUGAUGAAACAGAUGCUUCAUCACAUUUGCAUUUCGAGCAAACACGCAUUGAACGACAGGUGAGCCGUGAUGACGUUGGAGAGCAAGCGACCGUCCUCCUCCAGCAUUUCAUUGUCGAUCGAUUCCAGCAGGACGGUUUUGAAAACGCGCCGGGACUGGAUGACCUGAGGGCGGGGCUGGCUGUCCCCAGAGAGCAGGAGGUCGUGUGGACAGAGGUCGGCUGCAUGCUCAGGUCAAUAGGAGAUACGUUAGAUAGGGAUCGAGAAUUACAGAGGAUGAUAAACUCCGUUCCUUCCGAUUCACCCAUCGAGGCAAUCAUAGCAGUAGCCCAUGUGAUCUUCGGGGACGGUGAUAUAACCUGGGGGAGGAUAGUCGGUCUCUUCUACUUUGCCUACAGGAUGUGUGCGAGGGCUAUAGAGUCUGUUCUGGAUAAGAGCUUUCCAAGUUGGAUCAACAAGCUGAUCAAAGAAGUCGUCAAGUUCCUCGUCAUUAAGUUUGCCCACUGGAUUGUCAACAAAGGAGGAUGGCUGGCCAUCCGUGAAUACAUGGGCUCCCCAACCUGGAUAUGGGGCACUCUUGUCGCCCUCUCUGCCAGCUGCUUAGGCUUUUCAUUAUACAAGUUGAGUAGAUGAAGGCCUGCCAAGACAACUCUACAUUUUAUUGAGUGAAUGGGACUGUAGGAAAACAUUUACGAAAUAAUAAAACCUUCAAGAAGUGUUUCUUUCAAUGAGAUUGAGACCUGCCACUGCAGCUCUACAUUUUAUUGAAUGUGUGGGACUGUAGGAAAACAUUUAUGAAAUAUUAGAACUGUCAAUUGAAUCAGUAUUUCUUUCUGCGAGACUUAAUCUGCCGAACAGUUCCAGUCUCAUCUGUCCACUUGUGAGAGUGAGAUGAUGUCGCCAACAUCAAAUGCAAGGUAUGGGACUAUAAUGGAAAUAUUUUUGAAGUUUACAUGUAGAUCAAUCUUGUGGCUGAGUUAUUCAUUUGAGCUUUUAUGAAAGAUAUAAUUACUACAGUGUCCCUAUAUAUGUUAUGAUUUUAUGAUGACAUUGAAUCAUGGGACAUAUAAGUCCAAAGGUGUAUAUAUCUUAAAUGAUGCAUUUUUGUAAACUCAAAAGUUUCUUUUAUAAAUCUGUAUUUAUGUGUUAACAUAGAUCUUUGUAGUCCCUAUCUUUGUUAUAUCAAGUAUUCAAACUCACUUUUCAACAAAUAUAUCUCGAAGUUGAACUUGAUGAUAAAACGGUUCUGUGACAUUUACUCCAGCUGCAAUUGCUUCGCUUUAAAUUCCACAUACUCAUUGAAUGACCAACUACAACCCUUUUCCCUAUUCUAAAUUUUAUGUUAUUUUAUUUAUUUAUUUAAAUUGAAACCUUAUUUAAACCUAACCCUAAACCUACCAUAAACCCCUAUUGCAAAUGUAAACCUAGAUCUAUGACGAAAUGAAGCCCGUAGCAAUUGUUGCAGCCUGAGCAAAUGGUGUGUCACUAUACUUCUAAAAUGGUUGUGGAAUAUUACCCCUAUAAACAAAUUUGAAAUUGUGCCAUAUAAAUGUACAAUUAUUAUUGAUUUUUUUUAAAGUCAAGCAAUGCUAUCACAUUGCCAGGAACACUGAAAUAGCCAGACAACACCAAUUUCCUUUUGUUAGUCAAUGAAAUUCAUGUAAAAUCUUUUUUUUUGUUGCAUUGAUUAAUUACAUUCAUAUGCUGCGGGGGUUAUGAAGCAUACUUUAUAGUAUUUUGUUGAUAUGCAUCCCUUUUGAUAGACUGUCCAUUCUAAGAUGUAGUAAUAGAAAUAUUUAAUUAACAUUUGUAUACAUAAAUGUCAUAAUGUACACUUUCUGAUGUCUCAAACAAUAGAGUUAUAAAUUAUGUUAUGAGAGGUGGCUAGAGGUCCCACAUGCCCCCUCCUCUAAAAUAAAAAAAUGUGUAGAAUAGGCUAAUAAAAUCUUCAGACAAAUAUCUAAGUGAUUAAGCAAGGAACAGUUGGAUACAUACCAAAAUUUGGACUUAUUUUGUCAAAUUAUGGAGUGUGUGCAAUUCCCAAUGGCAUUGGUGUAUUUAGUCAGAAAAAUAAAUCCACAAGUCUUUUGACGAGACUAGUCGCAAUAUUGGCUUAAAUAUCGGCAAAUAUUUUUUUUAGAAUGCAAACACUGUUAAAAUAAACGCCAACGAUUGUAAUCACUGAGAAACCCUUGGCAUUUAUCAAAUCCUGCUACCUCAAUGAGUUAGGCAACCAACUAGAGGUAUAUCACAGACUGACUGAGAGAUUGGAA
rnacentral:misc_RNA from 1 species